rnacentral:rRNA from 1 species
UACGGAGGGUGCGAGCGUUGUCCGGAAUCACUGGGCGUAAAGGGCGCGUAGGCGGCCUGAUAAGUAGGGGGUGAAAUCCUGCGGCUUAACCGCAGGGCUGCCUUCUAAACUGUCAGGCUAGAGCACAGUAGAGGCAGGUGGAAUUCCCGGUGUAGCGGUGGAAUGCGUAGAGAUCGGGAAGAACACCAGAUGCGAAGGCGGGUCACUGGGCUGAUACUGACGCUAAAGCGCGAAAGCCAGGGGAGCGAACGGG